GGGAGCAGGGCUGGGUUAGGAUCCACUGGUUCCAGGUGAACUGGGCUGGGUGAACUCUGCCUUUUGUAAAUUGAGCUAUGGGAACCUGAACCUGCUCCACCAGGCAGCUUGGAGGGGUUGGCUGAAGGGAUUUAGGAGGCUUUGGGGGAAAUGCAUGCAGUGAAAUGUGGGUUUGGAUGAGUGAGGGCUGAACCCUUUAACCCUUUAACCCCUGUUUAACAUUUCCCUUCAGGGCGGGUGGGUCUGGUACCUGUGGACACUCACUGGGUGUGGGUUUUAGCACCAUGGCAAAGAGCAGGGCUCAGAGCAGCACAGGCACUUCCUUUAGGGAUUGAAAUCCUGGGUGCUACAGCACCACUCGGAUAAAACCCUUGGAGAAAUAGUGCAUAAAUCUCAGCAUGGUUAUUGCACUGCUCAGGUAAUUAUCUGCCCCCAUGUCCCUAGAAAUCUGUCUCUUGGAUUUCUGCAGGAGAGUGAUGGAAAUGCUGAAUAGAAAUAAAGAUUUAUUGAAUCAAAGCGAUUCUACUGUGUAUUUUAAGACAUAUUUAUAAGCAGCAGCUGCAGCAGCGAUUAUGAUAAAUUUAAUAUUCAGAGUUCAUUUCAUGACACAGAAAUAAAAUGAAUAAUCCAUCAAUAUAAAUUGACUUGAGAUGAAUAUCAAAUUGCAAAAUCUUUAGAGCGAUUCUGUUUGCUAAUCUACAUGAACAUGAUCUGGAUUAAAGGGAUCUGUUUGGUUCAGCAUUAAGCAGGAAGGGUAAAGUCUGGCUUUAAAAUGAGAUACAUAAAAUUAGGCAGCUCACAGGAGGGUCUUAAAGACUUCUGUGCCCGUGUGGGCAAUGCCUUGGGGGAGCCCUGCCCCUGGGAAGCCACUGUGAAGUCUUAACUCUAAAACCAGGCAUAAAAUAUCCUUAAAUACCUGGAAAAGCAGGUGGACAGCUAUAGACCAAACGGACCAAACCACAGGGGUGUUUAACAAAACGUGUCUGACCCGCUGAGGCACUUUUAUAAAUGUCACUGUCAGCCUUUGUGCUUCUUCAGGGGCCUAAAUACACUUGCAAAUCUCCCUUAAAUAUUUUUUAAAUACUUUUAAGCAUGCCUCUCCAUGUUCAUUAAUGUGAGAUGAGCAGAUGCACAACCAGACAGAAUCCCAUUUCCCCAAGGUAAUCCUUUUUCUUCAUUUCUAACAUGCAAAAUGCAGGGAAUUAUAACAGCGUUUAAACAAAAAAAAAAGAAAAAAGAAAGAA